AUUUAAGUAGCUUAUAUUUAGAGUUUAAUAUUGAAGAUAUUAAGGAAAUAAUUUUUAUUCUUAAAUA
rnacentral:tRNA from 1 species